UGGGGAAUAUUGCACAAUGGGCGCAAGCCUGAUGCAGCCAUGCCGCGUGUGUGAAGAAGGCCUUCGGGUUGUAAAGCACUUUCAGCGAGGAGGAAGGUGGUGAGCUUAAUACGCUCAUCAAUUGACGUUACUCGCAGAAGAAGCACCGGCUAACUCCGUGCCAGCAGCCGCGGUAAUACGGAGGGUGCAAGCGUUAAUCGGAAUUACUGGGCGUAAAGCGCACGCAGGCGGUUUGUUAAGUCAGAUGUGAAAUCCCCGGGCUCAACCAGGGAACUGCAUUUGAAACUGGCAAGCUAGAGUCUCGUAGAGGGGGGUAGAAUUCCAGGUGUAGCGGUGAAAUGCGUAGAGAUCUGGAGGAAUACCGGUGGCGAAGGCGGCCCCCUGGACGAAGACUGACGCUCAGGUGCGAAAGCGUGGGG
rnacentral:rRNA from 1 species